AUGCGGCCGCCCUUGCACACUGCCCUCGUGCUGCUGCUGGCCGGCCCUCAUACGCAUACACGACCUCUGCCGGAGCUCCUGCAGCCGCUGUCACCGCCCUACCAUCUGCUCGCGACCGCGGCCCCUCCGUCCUCCUCUCAGGAGGCCGUUGGUAACCCAUGGUAUGUUGUAGGUGAGCAAAACAGGAUGUUGUCCUCCUCUCUUCUUGUUGGUUCCUGUUAUCACCACAAAAAUAGAGCACACAAAAGACUCGAGCUGCUAGUUUUCGUACACUUCGUCAAAGCACCUAUCACUUCUUCAAAAAUCUACAGGAACAAAGUGAGGGAGUGCGAAUGCAUUCAUCUUAGCUAG
rnacentral:rRNA from 1 species